UACGUAGGUGGCAAGCGUUGUCCGGAUUUACUGGGCGUAAAGGGCGUGCAGGCGGUUUGUCUAGUCUAGGGUGAAAGCUCCCGGCUUAACUGGGAGAGGUCCUUGGAUACUGGCAAACUUGAGGGAGGCAGAGGAAAGUGGAAUUCCCGGUGUAGUGGUGAUAUGCGUAGAUAUCGGGAGGAACACCAGUGGCGAAGGCGGCUUUCUGGGCCCUUACCUGACGCUGAGACG
rnacentral:rRNA from 1 species